UACGUAGGGAGCAAGCGUUGUUCGGAUUUACUGGGCGUAAAGGGCGCGUAGGCGGCAAUUCAAGUCAGCUGUGAAAUCCCCGGGCUUAACCUGGGAAUGGCAUUUGGGACUGCAAGGCUCGAGUGCGGCAGAGGAGACUGGAAUUCCUGGUGUAGCGGUGAAAUGCGUAGAUAUCAGGAGGAACACCGAUGGCGAAGGCAGGUCUCUGGGCUGACACUGACGCUCAUGCACGAAAGCGUGGGGAGCAAACAGG
rnacentral:rRNA from 1 species